rnacentral:rRNA from 1 species
AUUGAACGCUGGCGGCAUGCUUUACACAUGCAAGUCGAACGGAAACAUGGAGAAGCUUGCUUCUCUGAUGUCGAGUGGCGAACGGGUGAGUAAUACAUCGGAACAUGUCCUUUUUGUGGGGGAUAACUACUCGAAAGAGUAGCUAAUACCGCAUAAGACCUAAGGGUGAAAGCGGGGGACCUUCGGGCCUCGCGCAGAUGGAGUGGCCGAUGACUGAUUAGCUAGUUGGUGGGGUAAAGGCCUACCAAGGCGACGAUCAGUAGCUGGUCUGAGAGGACGACCAGCCACAUUGGGACUGAGACACGGGCCCAAACUCCUACGGGAGGCAGCAGUGGGGAAUUUUGGUCAAUGGUCGGAAGACUGAACCAGCCAAGUAGCGUGAAGGAUGAAGGUUCUAUGGAUUGUAAACUUCUUUUAUACGGGAUAAACCUCCACGUGUGGGAGCUUGUAUGUACCGUAUGAAUAAGCAUCGGCUAACUCCGUGCCAGCAGCCG